ensembl:lncRNA
GGGUGGUGGAUGUCUAGUGUCCCUUAUGGCUCUAAUCUGAUAGUGGUAGUGGGGGGUGGCAGAUUCCUAGUGUCCCUUAUGGCUCUAAUCUGAUAGUGGUAGUGGGGUGGUAGAUUCCUAGUGUCCCUUAUGGCUCUAAUCUGAUAGUGGUAGUGGGGUGGUAGAUUCCUAGGGUCCCUUAUGGCUCUAAUCUGAUAGUGGUAGUGGGGUGGUAGAUUCCUAGUGUCCCUUAUGGCUCUAAUCUGAUAGUGGUAUUGGGGUGGUAGAUUCCUAGUGUCCCUUAUGGCUCUAAUCUGAUAGUGGUAGUGGGGGGUGGCAGAUUCCUAGUGUCCCUUAUGGCUCUAAUCUGAUAGUGGUAGUGGGGUGGUAGAUUCCUAGUGUCCCUUAUGGCUCUAAUAUGAUAAUGGUAGUAGGGUGGUGGAUGUCUAGUGUCCCUUAUGGCUCUAAUAUGAUAAUGGCAGUAGGGUGGUGGAUGUCUAGUGUCCCUUAUGGCUCUAAUAUGAUAAUGGUAGUAGGGUGGUGGAUGUCUAGUGUCCCUUAUGGCUCUAAUCUGAUAAUGGUAGUAGGGUGGUAGAUGUCUAGUGUCCCUUAUGGCUCUAAUCUGAUAGUGGUAGUAGGGGUGGCAGAUUCCUAGUGUCCCUUAUGGCUCUAAUCUGAUAGUGGUAGUGGGGUGGUAGAUUCCUAGGGUCCCUUAUGGCUCUAAUAGGAUAGUGGUAGUGGGGUUGUAGAUUCCUAGUGUCCCUUAUGGCUCUAAUCUGAUAGUGGUAGUGGGGUGGUUGAUUCCUAGUGUCCCUUAUGGCUCUAAUCUGAUAGUGGUAGUGGGGUGGUAGAGUCCUAGUGUCCCUUAUGGCUCUAAUCUGAUAGUGGUAGUGGGGGGUGGCAGAUUCCUAGUGUCCCUUAUGGCUCUAAUCUGAUAGUGGUAGUGGGGUGGUAGAUUCCUAGUGUCCCUUGUGGCUCUAAUAUGAUAAUGGCAGUAGGGUGGUGGAUGUCUAGUGUCCCUUAUGGCUCUAAUAUGAUAAUGGUAGUAGGGUGGUGGAUGUCUAGUGUCCCUUAUGGCUCUAAUAUGAUAAUGGUAGUAGGGUGGUGGAUGUCUAGUGUCCCUUAUGGCUCUAAUCUGACAGUAGUAGUGGGGGGUGGCAGAUUCCUAGUGUCCCUUAUGGCUCUAAUCUGAUAGUGGUAGUGGGGUGGUAGAUUCCUAGUGUCCCUUAUGGCUCUAAUCUGAUAGUGGUAGUGGGGUGGUAGAUUCCUAGGGUCCCUUAUGGCUCUAAUAGGAUAGUGGUAGUGGGGUGGUAGAUUCCUAGUGUCCCUUAUGGCUCUAAUCUGAUAGUGGUAGUGGGGUGGUUGAUUCCUAGUGUCCCUUAUGGCUCUAAUCUGAUAGUGGUAGUGGGGUGGUAGAUUCCUAGUGUCCCUUAUGGCUCUAAUAUGAUAGUGGAUGUAGGGUGGUGGAUGUCUAGUGUCCCUUAUGGCUCUAAUAUGAUAAUGGUAGUGGGGUGGUAGAUUCCUAGUGUCCCUUGUGGCUCUAAUAUGAUAAUGGUAGUAGGGUGGUG